rnacentral:rRNA from 1 species
UACGGAGGAUGCGAGCGUUAUCCGGAUUUAUUGGGUUUAAAGGGUGCGUAGGCGGGAUGCCAAGUCAGCGGUAAAAAUGCGGAGCUCAACGCCGUCGAGCCGUUGAAACUGGCGUUCUUGAGUGGGCGAGAAGUAUGCGGAAUGCGUGGUGUAGCGGUGAAAUGCAUAGAUAUCACGCAGAACUCCGAUUGCGAAGGCAGCAUACCGGCGCCCUACUGACGCUGAGGCACGAAAGCGUGGGUAUCGAACAGG